UACGUAGGGGGCAAGCGUUGUCCGGAUUAUUGGGCGUAAAGAGCGUGUAGGCGGCCAAGCAGGUCCGCUGUGAAAACUCGAGGCUCAACCUCGAGACGUCGGUGGAAACCGUUUGGCUAGAGUCCGGAAGAGGAGAGUGGAAUUCCCGGUGUAGCGGUGAAAUGCGCAGAUAUCGGGAAGAACACCCGUGGCGAAGGCGGCUCUCUGGGACGGUACUGACGCUGAGACGCGAAAGCGUGGGGAGCGAACGAGG
rnacentral:rRNA from 1 species